rnacentral:lncRNA from 1 species
GGCGCGACCCCGUCCGGCGGCGGCGCCCGGAAGGCGCGCAGCCUCGCGGCGGGCAAGGAGCGCUGCGCUGAGACACGGGAUCCGGAAACUUAACCUUAGUGUCGCCGUCAGGCCAUCGCGUAACUCCGCGACGCCAAGUAGCUGGUGCCCAAGUGUCCAGUUUCUCGUCAACGCCCCCUUUUCCUGGCCCAGUUGAGUCGGGUCCGAGGGAGGCCCUGACGUCGCAGCAGUCCAGCCCCCUCCCCCUGCCGCUCUUGGCGUUUCCAUUGACAUUGGUCCUCUUGUCACCGAGCCCGCUGUGACACAGAAAGGCCAGCUCACAGAGAAUGGUUUCAGCCUCACCUGCCUUCCAUCCUUCCUCAGUCUUGCGAAGUAAGGGGCACGGGCUGUGUACAUCCUCCAGAAUUCAAACUGGAUUGUGAGAGAAGUGGGUAUCCCUCUGUUCAGGCUUGACAGGGCAGAGGAAUAUUCUGGUGGCCUUUGGCCUUUAAAACACAAGCUUGACAUGAAAGCAGGAGCUCUGAAUGAAGCCUUUCCUAAAUGUCUUGCUGGCUCCUGGUCCAUUGCUCCUGCCUGGGAAGACCUAGAGCCCUGGUGGGAGUUCCCGGCGUGGCGCAGCGGAAAGAAAUCCGACUAAGAACCAUGAGGUCGCCGGUUUGAUCCCUGGCCUCACUCAGUGGGUUAAGGAUCCGGCAUUGCGGUGAGUUGUGGAGUAGGUGGCAGACAUGGCUUGGAUCCUGCGUGGCUGUGGCUGUGGUGUAGGCUGGCAGCUGCGGCUCUGGUUGGACCCCUAGCCUGGGAACCUCCAUCUGCCGCGGGUGCAGCCCUAAAAAGC